rnacentral:rRNA from 1 species
UGCCAGCCGCCGCGGUAAUACGGAGGGUGCAAGCGUUAAUCGGAAUUACUGGGCGUAAAGCGCGCGUAGGCGGUUUUGUAAGUUAGGGGUGAAAUCCCGGGGCUCAACCUCGGAACUGCCUUUGAUACUGCAGAUCUAGAGUCCGAGAGAGGUGAGUGGAAUUCCUAGUGUAGAGGUGAAAUUCAUAGAUAUUGGGAAGAACACCAGUGGCGAAGGCGGCUAACUGGCUCGGUACUGACGCUGAGAUGCGAAAGCGUGGGGAGCAAACAGGAUUAGAUA